rnacentral:rRNA from 1 species
GGGUUGUGAGGUUAAGCGACUAAGCGUACACGGUGGAUGCCCUGGCAGUCAGAGGCGAUGAAGGACGUGCUAAUCUGCGAUAAGCGUCGGUAAGGUGAUAUGAACCGUUAUAACCGGCGAUUUCCGAAUGGGGAAACCCAGUGUGAUUCGUCACACUAUCAUUAACUGAAUCCAUAGGUUAAUGAGGCGAACCGGGGGAACUGAAACAUCUAAGUACCCCGAGGAAAAGAAAUCAACCGAGAUUCCCCCAGUAGCGGCGAGCGAACGGGGAGGAGCCCAGAGCCUGAAUCAGUGUGUGUGUUAGUGGAAGCGUCUGGAAAGGCGUGCGAUACAGGGUGACAGCCCCGUACACAAAAAUGCACAUACUGUGAGCUCGAUGAGUAGGGCGGGACACGUGGUAUCCUGUCUGAAUAUGGGGGGACCAUCCUCCAAGGCUAAAUACUCCUGACUGACCGAUAGUGAACCAGUACCGUGAGGGAAAGGCGAAAAGAACCCCGGCGAGGGGAGUGAAAAAGAACCUGAAACCGUGUACGUACAAGCAGUGGGAGCCUCUUAAUGGGGUGACUGCGUACCUUUUGUAUAAUGGGUCAGCGACUUAUAUUCUGUAGCAAGGUUAACCGAAUAGGGGAGCCGAAGGGAAACCGAGUCUUAACUGGGCGUUAAGUUGCAGGGUAUAGACCCGAAACCCGGUGAUCUAGCCAUGGGCAGGUUGAAGGUUGGGUAACACUAACUGGAGGACCGAACCGACUAAUGUUGAAAAAUUAGCGGAUGACUUGUGGCUGGGGGUGAAAGGCCAAUCAAACCGGGAGAUAGCUGGUUCUCCCCGAAAGCUAUUUAGGUAGCGCCUCGUGAAUUCAUCUCCGGGGGUAGAGCACUGUUUCGGCAAGGGGGUCAUCCCGACUUACCAACCCGAUGCAAACUGCGAAUACCGGAGAAUGUUAUCACGGGAGACACACGGCGGGUGCUAACGUCCGUCGUGAAGAGGGAAACAACCCAGACCGCCAGCUAAGGUCCCAAAGUCAUGGUUAAGUGGGAAACGAUGUGGGAAGGCCCAGACAGCCAGGAUGUUGGCUUAGAAGCAGCCAUCAUUUAAAGAAAGCGUAAUAGCUCACUGGUCGAGUCGGCCUGCGCGGAAGAUGUAACGGGGCUAAACCAUGCACCGAAGCUGCGGCAGCGACACUAUGUGUUGUUGGGUAGGGGAGCGUUCUGUAAGCCUGUGAAGGUGUACUGUGAGGUAUGCUGGAGGUAUCAGAAGUGCGAAUGCUGACAUAAGUAACGAUAAAGCGGGUGAAAAGCCCGCUCGCCGGAAGACCAAGGGUUCCUGUCCAACGUUAAUCGGGGCAGGGUGAGUCGACCCCUAAGGCGAGGCCGAAAGGCGUAGUCGAUGGGAAACAGGUUAAUAUUCCUGUACUUGGUGUUACUGCGAAGGGGGGACGGAGAAGGCUAUGUUGGCCGGGCGACGGUUGUCCCGGUUUAAGCGUGUAGGCUGGUUUUCCAGGCAAAUCCGGAAAAUCAAGGCUGAGGCGUGAUGACGAGGCACUACGGUGCUGAAGCAACAAAUGCCCUGCUUCCAGGAAAAGCCUCUAAGCAUCAGGUAACAUCAAAUCGUACCCCAAACCGACACAGGUGGUCAGGUAGAGAAUACCAAGGCGCUUGAGAGAACUCGGGUGAAGGAACUAGGCAAAAUGGUGCCGUAACUUCGGGAGAAGGCACGCUGAUAUGUAGGUGAAGUCCCUCGCGGAUGGAGCUGAAAUCAGUCGAAGAUACCAGCUGGCUGCAACUGUUUAUUAAAAACACAGCACUGUGCAAACACGAAAGUGGACGUAUACGGUGUGACGCCUGCCCGGUGCCGGAAGGUUAAUUGAUGGGGUUAGCGGUAACGCGAAGCUCUUGAUCGAAGCCCCGGUAAACGGCGGCCGUAACUAUAACGGUCCUAAGGUAGCGAAAUUCCUUGUCGGGUAAGUUCCGACCUGCACGAAUGGCGUAAUGAUGGCCAGGCUGUCUCCACCCGAGACUCAGUGAAAUUGAACUCGCUGUGAAGAUGCAGUGUACCCGCGGCAAGACGGAAAGACCCCGUGAACCUUUACUAUAGCUUGACACUGAACAUUGAGCCUUGAUGUGUAGGAUAGGUGGGAGGCUUUGAAGUGUGGACGCCAGUCUGCAUGGAGCCGGCCUUGAAAUACCACCCUUUAAUGUUUGAUGUUCUAACGUUGGCCCCUGACCGGGGUUGCGGACAGUGUCUGGUGGGUAGUUUGACUGGGGCGGUCUCCUCCUAAAGAGUAACGGAGGAGCACGAAGGUUGGCUAAUCCUGGUCGGACAUCAGGAGGUUAGUGCAAUGGCAUAAGCCAGCUUGACUGCGAGCGUGACGGCGCGAGCAGGUGCGAAAGCAGGUCAUAGUGAUCCGGUGGUUCUGAAUGGAAGGGCCAUCGCUCAACGGAUAAAAGGUACUCCGGGGAUAACAGGCUGAUACCGCCCAAGAGUUCAUAUCGACGGCGGUGUUUGGCACCUCGAUGUCGGCUCAUCACAUCCUGGGGCUGAAGUAGGUCCCAAGGGUAUGGCUGUUCGCCAUUUAAAGUGGUACGCGAGCUGGGUUUAGAACGUCGUGAGACAGUUCGGUCCCUAUCUGCCGUGGGCGCUGGAGAACUGAGGGGGGCUGCUCCUAGUACGAGAGGACCGGAGUGGACGCAUCACUGGUGUUCGGGUUGUCAUGCCAAUGGCACUGCCCGGUAGCUAAAUGCGGAAGAGAUAAGUGCUGAAAGCAUCUAAGCACGAAACUUGCCCCGAGAUGAGUUCUCCCUGACUCCUUGAGAGUCCUGAAGGAACGUUGAAGACGACGACGUUGAUAGGCCGGGUGUGUAAGCGCAGCGAUGCGUUGAGCUAACCGGUACUAAUGAACCGUGAGG